AUUAGUGAAUCAGUCUCUUCAGUGUCCUCCUGCAUCUCCUAGCAAACAGCAAGGAAACUUGACAUGGGUACAGUUGGUCUUUUACUUUUCUUGCUGAUGCCCUACAUUUCAAUUAUUUUCCUGUUGUGACUGUUAGGCAGUAGUUUGAGCCUAUAAGCCUUAAUUAAAAAGACUGACCUCUAAUCUUAAAAGUAGAAAGAGUUUCUUCUAAACCCAAACUGGGAGCUGGUUCCAUUGGAGAGGGCUUGAUAGCUGAAGGCUCUGCCACAGGAACCACAAGAAAGCCUGCUGUGUGAGAGGAAAAUACUGUGCUGGGACAAUGUUAAAACUGUGACCAGUGCUGAACUGGCGCUCUGACGUCUCCAAGGCUCCUGGCCCUCAGGGGCAAGAGUCUGAAAGGGAAAGCCAGAGAGGAGAUUCCGAGGCCAGGCCAGCUAACACAGCAGCAGGGACUCUCAUCACUCUCUCCACACUUCUGCUGUCAGAGCUUUUGUUUCAGCAGCAUUACUCACUCACAAGGCCCUGCCUCCCAGGUAACUACCCUGCUGAACUGGUGCUGCUGCAUGGAGAGAUGGAGCACAGACUCAGCACCACCCUCACAGAAUGUGGGCCGACUGAAUGAUAGCCAGGAAAAAAAAUGAGUAGAAAAGUUCCUCUCUGGUGAAAAGACGCGGUAUAAUAACAGGGUGCGGAUUUGAUUUCAGUCGUCAGCGGCGUCGCUGCUCUCGUGCAUCCGAAUCCUCCACAGACCGAAGAUGGAUUUUAACAACGUUGUGUCUUCUGCUUUCCUUCACACAUUUUCAUUUACUUCCACUGUCUAUUCAAAUUUACAGCUUACCCCCUGGUGUCAUGGCAUAUAGGGAAAAAACAAACAUCAAUAAACGAAAAGGUAGCAUGUUGAACAUUUUUGCAGGCAUCACGCUGUGUUUUUUAAAUGUCCUUUUUUUCCCUUCUAAAUGUUUUGGCAUUUACUUAGUAAUUAUCUAUGCUUUAAUUCUCAUCUACCAAAUUUGAAAUACUCACAGUAAAUAUGAUUGUUUACCACA